rnacentral:rRNA from 1 species
UACGUAGGGGGCAAGCGUUGUCCGGAUUUAUUGGGCGUAAAGAGCGUGUAGGCGGCCAGGUAGGUCUGCUGUGAAAACUCGAGGCUCAACCUCGGGAUGUCGGCGGAAACCAUCUGGCUAGAGUCCGGAAGAGGAGAAUGGAAUUCCCGGUGUAGCGGUGAAAUGCGCAGAUAUCAGGAGGAACACCGGUGGCGAAGGCGGAUCUCUGGGCCUUACCUGACGCUCAGGCGCGAAAGCUAGGGGAGCGAACAGG